CCUACGGGUGGCAGCAGUGGGUGAUAUUGGACAAUGGGGGAAACCCUGAUCCAGCGACGCCGCGUGAGUGAAGAAGUAUUUCGGUAUGUAAAGCUCUGUCAGCAGGGAAGACAGAAAUGACGGUACCUGACCAAGACGCCCCGGCUAACUACUUGCCAGCAGCCGCGGUAAUACGGAGGGGGCAAGCGUUAUCCGGAAUUACGGGUUAUAAGGGGAGCGUCUACGGUGAUGCAAGUCUGGAGUGAAAGGCGGGGGCCCAACCCCCGGACUGCUCUGGAAACUGUGUAACUUGAGUGCAGGAGAGGUAAGCGGAAUUCCUAGUGUAGCGGUGAAAUGCGUAGAUAUUAGGAGGAACACCAGUGGCGAAGGCGGCUUACUGGACUGUAACUGACGUUGAGGCUCGAAAGCGUGGGGAGCAAACAGGAUUAGAUACCCUUGUAGUC
rnacentral:rRNA from 1 species